rnacentral:rRNA from 1 species
AAUUAGCGGAUGACUUGUGGCUGGGGGUGAAAGGCCAAUCAAACCGGGAGAUAGCUGGUUCUCCCCGAAAGCUAUUUAGGUAGCGCCUCGUGAAUUCAUCUCCGGGGGUAGAGCACUGUUUCGGCAAGGGGGUCAUCCCGACUUACCAACCCGAUGCAAACUGCGAAUACCGGAGAAUGUUAUCACGGGAGACACACGGCGGGUGCUAACGUCCGUCGUGAAGAGGGAAACAACCCAGACCGCCAGCUAAGGUCCCAAAGUCAUGGUUAAGUGGGAAACGAUGUGGGAAGGCCCAGACAGCCAGGAUGUUGGCUUAGAAGCAGCCAUCAUUUAAAGAAAGCGUAAUAGCUCACUGGUCGAGUCGGCCUGCGCGGAAGAUGUAACGGGGCUAAACCAUGCACCGAAGCUGCGGCAGCGACGCUUAUGCGUUGUUGGGUAGGGGAGCGUUCUGUAAGCCUGCGAAGGUGUGCUGUGAGGCAUGCUGGAGGUAUCAGAAGUGCGAAUGCUGACAUAAGUAACGAUAAAGCGGGUGAAAAGCCCGCUCGCCGGAAGACCAAGGGUUCCUGUCCAACGUUAAUCGGGGCAGGGUGAGUCGACCCCUAAGGCGAGGCCGAAAGGCGUAGUCGAUGGGAAACAGGUUAAUAUUCCUGUACUUGGUGUUACUGCGAAGGGGGGACGGAGAAGGCUAUGUUGGCCGGGCGACGGUUGUCCCGGUUUAAGCGUGUAGGCUGGUUUUCCAGGCAAAUCCGGAAAAUCAAGGCUGAGGCGUGAUGACGAGGCACUACGGUGCUGAAGCAACAAAUGCCCUGCUUCCAGGAAAAGCCUCUAAGCAUCAGGUAACAUCAAAUCGUACCCCAAACCGACACAGGUGGUCAGGUAGAGAAUACCAAGGCGCUUGAGAGAACUCGGGUGAAGGAACUAGGCAAAAUGGUGCCGUAACUUCGGGAGAAGGCACGCUGAUAUGUAGGUGAAGUCCCUCGCGGAUGGAGCUGAAAUCAGUCGAAGAUACCAGCUGGCUGCAACUGUUUAUUAAAAACACAGCACUGUGCAAACACGAAAGUGGACGUAUACGGUGUGACGCCUGCCCGGUGCCGGAAGGUUAAUUGAUGGGGUCAGCGCAAGCGAAGCUCUUGAUCGAAGCCCCGGUAAACGGCGGCCGUAACUAUAACGGUCCUAAGGUAGCGAAAUUCCUUGUCGGGUAAGUUCCGACCUGCACGAAUGGCGUAAUGAUGGCCAGGCUGUCUCCACCCGAGACUCAGUGAAAUUGAACUCGC